GGAGCAUAGCACAGCCUGGUAGUGCACCUGGUUUGGGACCAGGGGGUCGUAGGUUCG
rnacentral:tRNA from 1 species